rnacentral:rRNA from 1 species
CUUUUUUUAUUUAGAUACUAAAUUAAAAAAACUUACUCUCGCUGUUAAUUCAAAAAAAAAAAAAGGGUUAAAAAACCAAGGCCCCGAACCCCACCGGGUUAAAGNACACCCCGGCCACGGAAGGGGCCGGCGUUCCAGGCCGCCCCGGGCCCCCUUUUUAAGCCCCAGGGAAUUCCUAAAACCAAUUUUGGAUUUAAAAUUUUAAAUGGAGAAUUUGAAAAAAAAUUCCAAAAAAAAAUUUCACCUCCCAAAAAAAAAAAAAAAUGGGGGAAUAACCCCACCGGGUUAAACCCCCGGCCUGGCCCCCAGGAGGCCUCCGGUCCACCCCCAAUUUCCCCCCCAAUUUUAUCCGGAAAGGCCAAAGUCCCAAAAUCCAAAAGAUUUUACCUUUAAAACUUCCACCUUUGGCCCUCCACCAAAAAAAAAUUCCUUGGCCUUUUGGGAUUAACCUUCCAACCAGUUAAAAGAACCCCUUUAUUAUUUAGAAAAGAGGGAAUGGAAUUUAGCCUAAGGCCAGGCCCCAAUUUCCUUAAGCCUAACCCCUAAAAAAAAAAACCAUUAGCCAAAUUAAGGCCUAG